UACGUAGGGGGCAAGCGUUGUCCGGAUUUAUUGGGCGUAAAGAGCGUGUAGGCGGCUAGGUAGGUCCGUUGUGAAAACUCGAGGCUCAACCUCGAGACGUCGAUGGAAACCAUCUAGCUAGAGUCCGGAAGAGGAGAGUGGAAUUCCUGGUGUAGCGGUGAAAUGCGCAGAUAUCAGGAAGAACACCCGUGGCGAAGGCGGCCUCUGUAC
rnacentral:rRNA from 1 species